CUUCUUUUUUCGCGUAGAAUCACCCCCUUUCCGCUUGUACCACCAUCCUGCAGUUGCCAACCACCCUGUAUAUAAUAUAUUGUCUAUCGCAUUACGAGAGUAUGUGGUUAUUGAUAGUGGCUCUUAAUAUUUAUUGCGUAACUGCAGAAUCUGAUGGACCGUAAUUGCUCCGAAACAUAAUUGUGACUAACUUCUUAAUGACUGACUGUUGUUGUAGGCGACAACUCCUGUUUAUAAUAAAACUACCAUGGGAUAAUUGCCUCGUGACGGUUUAUUCCCACGAGAACGCGUAGUUUCGGCACGUAGUUAUCUCUGCGGACGCUACAGUCUUCGCUUCUGCUGAUUUCCUUCCCAAGUGUGUUACGGUUUCAUCCACCUGCUGAUACGAUCUCCCAACGAGCGUUGCAGUUUUACGUUUUGCUGAUAAUGAGUCGAACUCUUCUCGGCACGUGGUUAUCUCUGCUCGCGGUGAUACUCGACCCUUUGGCGCGUCGCAGCUGCUUCCCUCUGCUGGCUUUACCUGAGAACAUCAUCGUCCCUCAGCUCCCAUUCGCUGCUUACUGCACUGUGUACUGUGGUGGGGAGAGCGCGCGCAAGGCAGAGCGCAUCAGCGGACGUCUUAAUGUUACGCCAACUCUGAACCGCGCAACACCUAUCCCUACGUAGUCUUCGAUACAACGAAGUAUCUCUACGAAAUUUCUUGAAGUGUUUAACGAUUCGUAACGAGUAUUUUACAAUGUGCAUCAACCUUUGCAACAGGGAAGAAGUACAAGCAAAUUAUGGUCUUUUGAAUAUGAUAAUUCCAAGACAACUGACACGCCAAGUUGACCGGCCUAGAUAUUAUUGUUUGAUACGAGUCGCACCUGCCUACCGCACCAACGACUAUUCACUUUGUGGAUUUUGCUACAGAAAUUUACUUAUGAUGGAAGCGGACGUACGGAUGUACGAAGAAGCAAAUUAUCAUAGCAUUUGCGGAGUCUCAGGCCGCGCACGUGUCCUUCGUUGCGACUCAUGCGAAAAACGAAUAGGACGGCUAAUACCCGCAGACGAGUGUCGGCUGUGCGCCGAGCAGUUGCCUAUACUGACUACAAAUCAGAUAAAUUCGUUAGCUCAGGGGAAAUUAGUACGCAUUGAUUAUCAUCCGUGAUAACAAUUUUUUUGCUGUCACAUAAUCGGAACUAUGUACGGAACUGUUGCGAUUCUUUCAACCGCACGCGGAUCAGAGGUUACAGCAGCGAAUGAUCGUUUAUAAUAUUUUCUUCUUAUUAUAUUAUUAAUAUUCUUGUUAUUAUAAAUAAACUAUAUUAUUAAUAUUC